GGACUACAGGGGUAUCUAAUCCCAUUCGCUCCCCUGGCUUUCGUUCCUCAGCGUCAGUUACGGCCCAGCAAGUCGCCUACGCCACUGGUGUUCUUCCCAAUAUCUACGCAUUUCACCGCUACACUGGGAAUUCCACUUGCCUCUACCGCACUCCAGUCUGCCAGUAUCCAGUGCACUCCCGAGGUUGAGCCCCGAUCUUUAACACCAGACUUAACAAACCGCCUACGAACUCUUUACGCCCAAUAAAUCCGGACAACGCUUGCAUCCUACGUCUUACCGCGGCUGCUGGCAC
rnacentral:rRNA from 1 species